CUCUCCCACCCACCAUAGCCUCAUUAAACUCUCCAAUCCACCGCCUCCCUCCAUGAAUUAAUUUCGGUCACUACCCACUGCCUUUAUCCCCUUCCCAAAACCCUAAUUUUGGUAGGUUUGCGAUGCCGGAAGAUCCCGACUCCUGUCCUUAUUUUUCCUUCGACGAUCUGAACGACCUCGUCGUCCCAGACACACCAGAGCAUCUAUGGCCCUCCCAUCCCUCCAUCUUCGGCCGCUAUCCUGUCCGAGCACCCUAUCCAGUCGGAAACUUGACCGACACCGUUGUCUCUGAAACGGAACCCGAAUUCCUCCCCAAAUGUGAGAUGUUUGAGUACUUUGGGGGUGAAAGCCCAUUCUAUGGUCCACCGCCACCAGAAACCCCACCACCACCAGCCACCUCCGUCGACAUACCUCAAGCCUCCCUCAUCGUGUAUUUGGAUGUGGAGAAGGAAAUGUUUGCAAUAUUGCUGCUUUUGGAUCUAAACUAAUCUAAUUUUGCCUCUGCCCAUAUUCGGUGGACUGUCUUCCGGCUGACUCCAAACUGUUUUGCUGCCUUUUCAAUAGCUCCAUAUGGUACUUCUCCUGCCUGGCUCGAUUGCAACAGACUUUGAGCUAGCAGAUUUUUGGUGGUGUUUGGUAUUAUGCGUGAGUCUCUUCGAGCAGGCUCCUCCAUAGCCCAGUGAUGAAAUUUUUCUGAGGGCACUAGUUCUAAAAAUCUCCAUUUGUAGUUGUAUCUAUUCCUUUUAUAGAUAGGUAUAGAUAGGUGUAGCUUGAAUUUUCCUCCAUUGUUGUGUGUAUGAAAUGGUGUUCCCUCCAUUAGUUUGAAUUAAUUUCCCUCCUAAGUGUGGUAGGUUGUUGGAAAAUUCCCUCUCAAAAUGUAUGGAAUUAGGGUGGCAGCACCUAUUUUUUGAAACAAAGGCCUAUUUGGAGU